GCCAUGCCGCGUGCGGGAAGAAGGCCUUCGGGUUGUAAACCGCUUUUGUCAGGGAAGAAACGGUCUAAUCUAAUAAAUUGGACUAAUGACGGUACCUGAAGAAUAAGCACCGGCUAACUACGUGCCAGCAGCCGCGGUAAUACGUAGGGUGCAAGCGUUAAUCGGAAUUACUGGGCGUAAAGCGUGCGCAGGCGGCUAUGCAAGACAGAUGUGAAAUCCCCGGGCUCAACCUGGGAACUGCAUUUGUGACUGCAUGGCUAGAGUACGGUAGAGGGGGAUGGAAUUCCGCGUGUAGCAGUGAAAUGCGUAGAUAUGCGGAGGAACACCGAUGGCGAAGGCAAUCCCCUGGACCUGUACUGACGCUCAUGCACGAAAGCGUGGGGAGCAAACAGGAUUAGAUACCCUGGUAGUCCACGCCCUAAACGAUGUCAACUGGUUGUUGGACGGCUUGCUGUUCAGUAACGAAGCUAACG
rnacentral:rRNA from 1 species